UACGAAGGGUGCAAGUGUUACUCGGAAUUACUGGGCGUAAAGCGUGCGUAGGUGGUGGUUUAAGUCCGUUGUGAAAGCCCUGGGCUCAACCUGGGAAUUGCAGUGGAUACUGGAUCACUAGAGUGUGGUAGAGGGAUGCGGAAUUUCUGGUGUAGCAGUGAAAUGCGUAGAGAUCAGAAGGAACAUCCGUGGCGAAGGCGGCAUCCUGGGCCAACACUGACACUGAGGCACGAAAGCGUGGGGAGCAAACAGG
rnacentral:rRNA from 1 species